CGUUGAAGGCUUCAAUGGCCGUCCGCUUCAUCUGGAUCUCCUGGGAGAGGAGGAGAGGGGUGGUGCUUCUUCCCCACAGCAUCAAUACUAUCCUCCUUUACCAGCUGGUCCUGAGGAAUUAGAGGAGAAGAAAUAAAACAACAUUAGCGAGCGAGCAGCGCACAGAAACUCAAGAAGGCAAAGAAAAAAGAAAGGGCUGCGUGUCAGAGUGUGAGACGUGAAAGAAUGAGGAGCUAUUUGUAAUUAAGGACGGAGGGAAAAGUGCAUGUUUGCUCCCUUCACCCCCUGAUUCUGCUUACGAGGCUGACUCCUGAACAGGCUAGUUAAUAAACCACCCACAAUGCCAUGGGUGUACAGCAAGGUGUGCACCCUCGGAGAUAUUGCAUCGCUCCCAGUAAUGACUUGCCUGACAAACAAGUGGAGGAAGGGAAUAAAUGCAACAACGGGCCUUUGACACCGGGGACGGCGUUUCCGCUCCAUACUGCAGCGGCAGCAAGAUCUUGCUGAAUUAUUGCACACCAGCACGAGUCACCGCAUAUGGAGGGGGUGGCGUUUAAGAAGAAACUGGUCAGAAAGAUGUUUCAAAUGUGCUACAAACUGAUUAAACAAAGAUUUUUGCAA